CUUCAUACCAAGAGCAACUGUUAAUUUGUCCUCAUGAGACUCAAUAUCCUCUGCAGACGCACGAGCCCUGUCGUCGGAAUCUUCUUCAGGGGUUGGCUCAUGCUGUGUUUUCUCACGCGACGUUGUCAGGCUACCUCUUCGAAUUUCUGUAUCCCUAUUUUUUACGGAUGUUCGCCUUGCCCCACGUCAUUUGCAGGUGUCGGUUGUGCCACGGCCAUCGCGAUCUGUGAUGGAAUUAUCUUUCUUGGCUUAACGGGCACAGUAUUCCAUUGCCCCAAAGAUUUUAGCAUCAAUCU
rnacentral:misc_RNA from 1 species